rnacentral:rRNA from 1 species
CCUACGGGAGGCAGCAGUGGGGAAUAUUGCACAAUGGGCGCAAGCCUGAUGCAGCCAUGCCGCGUGUGUGAAGAAGGCCUUCGGGUUGUAAAGCACUUUCAGCGGGGAGGAAGGCGGUGAGGUUAAUAACCUCAUCGAUUGACGUUACCCGCAGAAGAAGCACCGGCUAACUCCGUACCAGCAGCCGCGGUAAUACGGAGGGUGCAAGCGUUAAUCGGAAUUACUGGGCGUAAAGCGCACGCAGGCGGUCUGUCAAGUCGGAUGUGAAAUCCCCGGGCUCAACCUGGGAACUGCAUUCGAAACUGGCAGGCUAGAGUCUUGUAGAGGGGGGUAGAAUUCCAGGUGUAGCGGUGAAAUGCGUAGAGAUCUGGAGGAAUACCGGUGGCGAAGGCGGCCCCCUGGACAAAGACUGACGCUCAGGUGCGAAAGCGUGGGGAGCAAACAGGAUUAGAUACCCGGGUAGUC